rnacentral:lncRNA from 1 species
GAUAAACCGCAGCAGUUGGAUCCAAAUCGAUAGUAACUAUCUUGAGAGCUUCAUCCACAUCUCUAACGUCGGAUAAGCUUCUUAGAAACUUGUCGUCAAGAAGAGAAGAAAGAUAGAAUAGCUUUGUCUGAAAACAAAGACUCAAGGCUUUAGACAAAACUUUUUUCAUCCACAUCUCUAACGUCGGAUAAGCUUCUUAGAAACUUGUCGUCAAGAAGAGAAGAAAGAUAUGUUUCUGAAACAUCAGCAGGGGCGCUGGCCUGCAUCUAACGAACAUUGCUCCAGCGCAGAUCUCAUCCAAUUUUUGGUAAUUUCUUAAGAAAUCAAAUGUUGACCAGUGAAAGGAGACUUUGUCCGCUUCUACUGGUUCUUAGCAUCAGCCACAACUUCACAUGUAAAUCACCA